rnacentral:rRNA from 1 species
AGUGGCGCACGGGUGCGUAACGCGUAUGCAACCUACCUUUAACAGGGGAAUAGCCCCGAGAAAUCGGGAUUAAUACUCCGUAACAUUGCGGUGUGGCAUCACACUGCACUUAAAGCUGAGGCGGUUAAAGAUGGGCAUGCGUGACAUUAGCUAGUUGGUGAGGUAACGGCUCACCAAGGCAACGAUGUCUAGGGGUCCUGAGAGGGUUAUCCCCCACACUGGUACUGAGACACGGACCAGACUCCUACGGGAGGCAGCAGUAAGGAAUAUUGGUCAAUGGGCGCAAGCCUGAACCAGCCAUGCCGCGUGCAGGAAGACGGCCCUAUGGGUUGUAAACUGCUUUUAUCAGGGAAUAAACCCCCGCUCGUGAGCGGGGCUGAAGGUACCUGAAGAAUAAGCAUCGGCUAACUCCGUGCCAGCAGCCGCGGUAAUACGGAGGAUGCAAGCGUUAUCCGGAUUCAUUGGGUUUAAAGGGUGCGCAGGCGGAUUGGUAAGUCAGGGGUGAAAUCCCACAGCUCAACUGUGGAACUGCCUUUGAUACUGUCAGUCUAGAGUAUAGUUGAAGUUGGCGGAAUGUGUCAUGUAGCGGUGAAAUGCUUAGAUAUGACACAGAACACCGAUCGCGAAGGCAGCUAGCUAAGCUAUAACUGACGCUCAUGCACGAAAGCGUGGGGAUCAAACAGGAUUAGAUACCCUGGUAGUCCACGCU